CCUACGGGAGGCAGCAGUGAGGAAUAUUGGUCAAUGGACGAGAGUCUGAACCAGCCAAGUAGCGUGAAGGAUGACUGCCCUAUGGGUUGUAAACUUCUUUUAUAUGGGAAUAAAAUGUUCCACGUGUGGGAUUUUGUAUGUACCAUAUGAAUAAGGAUCGGCUAACUCCGUGCCAGCAGCCGCGGUAAUACGGAGGAUCCGAGCGUUCUCCGGAUUUAUUGGGUUUAAAGGGAGCGUAGGUGGAUUGUUAAGUCAGUUGUGAAAGUUUGCGGCUCAACCGUAAAAUUGCAGUUGAAACUGGCAGUCUUGAGUACAGUAGAGGUGGGCGGAAUUCGUGGUGUAGCGGUGAAAUGCUGAGAUAUCACGAAGAACUCCGAUUGCGAAGGCAGUUCACUGGACUGCAACUGACACUGAGGCUCGAAAGUGUGGGUAUCAAACAGGAUUAGAUACCCCUGUAGUC
rnacentral:rRNA from 1 species